rnacentral:rRNA from 1 species
CCAGACUCCUACGGGAGGCAGCCGUGGGGACUCUUGGGCAAUGGGCGCCCGCCUGACCCAGCAACGCCGCGUGCCGGACGAAGGCUUUCGGGUUGUAAACUUCUUUUAAGAGGGAAGAGUAGAAGACGGUCCCUCUUGAAUAAGCCACGGCUAACUACGUGCCAGCAGCCGCGGUCAUACGUAGGUGGCAAGCGUUGGCCGGAUUUACUGGGGGUAAAGGGCGUGUAGCCGGGCCGGCAAGUCAGAUGUGAAAGCCCAAGGCGCAACCGGGGAACGGCAGGGGAAACGGUGGGGCUGGAGGAGCGGAGAGGCAGGCGGAAGGCCUAGGGGAGCGGUGAAAGGCG